GCUGGUGUAAGUGAUGAGUGACUUUUUUUUCUUUUUUCCCCAUCAGAGCGACAGUGUUGAUUUCUCACUGUUUAAGCCAGAUCAUGUCUGAUGCACCAGC
rnacentral:snoRNA from 1 species